rnacentral:snRNA from 1 species
AUUGCUUCUCGGCCUUUUGGCUAAGAUCAAGUAUAGUUUCUAUGCUUCUGUUUCAAAGGCAGUUAAGCAUAACCUUAUACAAUUUUAAACAUUUAAGAAAACUUUU